rnacentral:rRNA from 1 species
CCGUGAUAACGUAGCAUAAUCAUUCGCCACCUAAUUAGUGGAUAGUAUGAAUGGUAAAACGAGUAUAACACUCUCUCAGAAGGAAGUCUUAUGAAAUUGGAGUGGUAGUCAAGAUACUACCUAAAACUGUAAGACGAAAAGACCCUAUAGAGCUUAACUAUACCUUUCUCACAAAAUUAAGUUCACUUAAGUUCCAGAAAGAUUGGUAGUUUAGUUGGGGCGACUGCUUUCUAGUAAAAACGAAAGCAAGCAAUAUUAAUUAUCUAAUUUACUGUCUAAUCUAUAUGUUUAACAGUUAUAAAAAUAGGCAAUAAUGACCCGUUAGUAAUAAAAAACACUACUAACGAACAAUAAAUAAAAGCUACCUUAGGGAUAACAGGAUAAUCUUGUUCUAGAGACCCUAUCGAAAACAAGGUUUGUCACCUCUAUGUUGAAUUAAGAUAUCCUAGAAGUGUAGAAGCUUCUGAGG